UUCCAGGGUACACGUGCAGGAUGUGCAGGUUUGUUACAUAGGUAAACAUGUGCCAUGUUGGUUUGCUGCACCUGUCAACUCAUCACCUAGGUAUUAACCCUGGCAUGCAUUAGCUAUUUUUGCUAAUGUUCCUCCCACCACCACCCUGCCCCAAUAGGCCCCAGUGUGUGUUGUUCCUCUCCCUGUGUCCAUGUGUUCUCAUUACUCAGUUCCCAAUUAUAAAUGAGAACAUGUGGUGUUUGGUUUUCCGUUCCUGUGUGAGUUUGCUGAGGAUAAUGGCUUCCACCUUCAUCCAUAUCCCUGCAAAGGACUUGAUCUCAUUCCUUUUUAUGGCUGCAUAAUAUUCCAUGGUGUAUAUGUACCACAUUUUCUUUAUCCAGUCCAUCAUUGAUGGGCAUUUGGAUUGAUUCCAUGUCUUUGCUAUUGUGAAUAGUGCUGCCAUGAAUGUAAACAUGCAUAUAUCUUUAUAAUAGAAUGAUUUAUAUUCCUUUGGGUAUAUACCCUGUAAUACGAUUGCUGGAUCAAAUGGUAUUUCUGAUUCUAAAUCUCUGAGGAAUCACCACACUGUCACUGUCUUCCACAAUGGAUUAACCAAUUUACUUUUCCACCAACAGUGUAAAAGCAUUCCUAUUUCUCUGCAACCUCGCCAGCAUCUGUUGUUUCUUGACUUUUUAAUAAUUGCCAUUCUGACUGGCAUGAGAUGGUAUCUCAUUUGUGGUUUUGAUUUGCAUUUCUCUAAUGAUCAGCGAUGUUGAGCUUUUUUUCAUAUUUUUGUUGGCCACAUGUAUGUCUUCUUUAGAAGUGUCUGUUCAAGUUCUUUGUCUACUUUUUAAUGAAUUUUUUCAUGUAAAUUUGCUUAAGUUCUUUGUGGAUUCUGAUUACUAGACUUUUGUCAGAUGGAUAGACUGCAAAAUUUUUCUCCCAUUCUGUAGGAUGUCUGUUCACUGUGAUUGAUGAUAGUUUCUUUUGCUGUGCAGAAAAAAAUGCCUAAUCAAAUUCUUUUCAUUUACAAAAAUGUGAAUCUCAUACUUCAAUAAACACAUCUAGCUUAGCAUGAUGCCAAUAAUUUUGGCUUGAUGCUGUAGCCCGAAAUAGUUAGUUCUAAUUGAGAAACAAGUUUUUUUCAAAAACUGGCUAUUUGAUGGGCAUUCUAUAAUAAACUUAACAUCUUUUGUUGUGGUAUUGAAUGAGAUGUGAUAGAAGUGAUUUGGACACAACUACGAUUCUAAAUAGCACUGCUAUUACAUGCUUCUGAAUUUUUUUUUCUUUUUAGCAGUCCUAUUCUGUUUUCCAUUCAUAUUUGCUAUUCCAUCAGUGGGUAUUCCUUCCUACUCUUUUCAUGUUUCAUUUAUUUUGAUCAAUGAUGUGCAUUUCCAAUCUGUAAAAGUUUAUUUCAGUUUAAUGUGUGGUAAAAUGUAACAUCAAAUCUUUGCAACAUGAAAUUAUCUUGCACAGCAGAUUGAACAUUGUAUCAUUGAAAAUCUAGAGAGAUGCCAGGGAGACAAGGAUCAAAUGACCUAUUUGUAGCCAAGGCCAUUUUCAUGGCAUCCUGGUCCUCUCUGUCACAUGGCUCCUUACAAUUCUCUGUGGUUUUCUUCCAAUGUAAGUAGUUCUUGUUAAGAAUCUUUGCAAUGAACUUUGAAAUUUUUUUCUUUUUCAUUUCUAUUAAAAACAGGUAUAUUUUAAUUUGGAAAACUCUGUUUAGGGAAUUAUAAUCAAGUAUCUACCAGGGUGCCCAGCACUGGUGUAAAACACAAAUCUGUAAAGCUACCCUGGGCUGCUACCCAGUCACCCCCUAGAAGGAGACCAUUGGGAGCAAGUCCCCCAAAAUCUGGCCAUAAACUGGCCCCAAGACUGGCCAUAAACAAAAUCUCUCCAGCACUGUAACAUGUUCAUAAUGGCCCUAACGUCCAAGCUGGAAGGUUGCGGGUUUACGAGAAUGAGGGGAAGGAACACCUGGCCUGCCCAGGGCAGAAAACCACUUAAAGGCAUUCUUAAGCCACAAACAAUAGCAUGAGCGAUCUGUGUCUUAAGGGUGUGUUCCAGCUGCAGUUAACCAGCCCAACCUAUUCCUUUAAUUCGGCCCAUCCCUUUGUUUCGCAUAAGGGAUACUUUUAGUUAAUUUAAUAUCUAUAGAAACAAUGCUAAUGACUGGUUUGCUGUUAAUAAAUAUGUGGGUAAAUAUCUGUUUGGGGCUCUCAGCUCUGAAGACUGUGAGACCCCCGAUUUCCCACUUCACACCUCUAUAUUUCUGUGUGUGUCUUUAAUUCCUCUAGCACCACUGGGUUAGGGUCUCUCUGACUGAGCUGGUCUUGGCAAGUGGUGUCCAUUUGUGGGGGCUCAUAUCCAGGUCGAAGGGUCGCCAGAGCAAUGGUUGGAAUGGGAAACUAGCUGGAGGACACCCGAGUACUCUUAAAGCAAUCCCUGUCGUGCGUAAGAAGGGGAGCUCGGAAGUGUCAGGGUAACAAUGGGACAGGUAUGGGGUCUGGUUCGUUUCACCUUGGAACUUUUUCACGCUGGUAAUGAGGAGGAACAAGAGUAUAGCGAAGUAACAGAAGAGGUUACAGAGCAUGUUUAUUUGCCAGCUAAAGCUAAAGCAGCAAAGGAAGGAGAGAUUCAUCCCUACCCUUCUGCACCCCCUCCUUAUUAUUUUGAUGAAAAUGAGCCCCCAGAUCUUUCUUUUCCGGAGGACACUGGGCAAAAAGUAAUUGCCCUAGUAACUGUUCGAGCAGCGCCUCGAGUGACAGCUCUUAGUUCUAUUCAGGCAGGAAUUCAGCAAGCUAGACAAGAGGGUGAUUUAGAGGCUUGGCAGUUCCCUGUUAGAAUACACCCCCUAGAUCAACAGGGAAAUAUUAUAGCUACAUUUGAGCCUUUCCCUUUUAAAUUACUCAAAGAAUUUAAACAAGCUAUUCAUACUGAAAAAGAAUGUAGAAAAAGUCAGUGAGUCAGGCCGCCAGACAGAGGAAAAAAGAAAACUGUUGAGCCUGAAAUAUGUCCAAAAUGUAAAAAAGGAAAACAUUGGGCUAGUCAGUGUCACUCUAAGUUUGAUAAACAAGGGAACUCGUUCUCAGGAAACACCAUGAGGGGCCCGUCCCGGGCCCCAUUCUAAACCAGGGCAUUUCCAGCUCAGGCCAUUCCCUCACCCCUGUACAAUGUCCUUCCCCAGCCACAGCUGGUAGUGCUGCAUUAGAUUUAUGCUGCACAAAAUCUGUGAGCCUUCUGCCUGAGGAACCCCAGCAAAAGGUCCCAACAGGAGUCUGUGGACCCUUGCCAGCAGGGAAAAUAGGAUUACUUUUAGGAAGGCCUAGUUUAAGUUUAAAAGGCGUACAAAUACAUACAGGAGUCAUUGAUUCAGAUUACAAUGGGGAAAUUCAAAUUCUUGUAUCUACUUCUGUUCCCUGGAAAGCAGAGCCAGGAGAGCAUAUAGCACAGCUCCUGAUUGUGCCAUAUGUGGGAAUGGGAAAAAGUGAAAUUAAAUGAACAGGAAGAUUUGGAAGCACAAAUAAACAAGGCAAAGCAGCUUAUUGGGUGAAUCAAAUUACUAAUAAACAUCCUACCUGUGAAAUAACUAUUCAGGGAAAGAAAUGUAAAGGUUUGGUAGAUACAGGAGCAGACAUUUCAAUCAUUUCUCUACAGCACUGGCCGUCCAUGUGGCCAAAUCAACCUGCUCAAUUUAACAUAGUUGGAGUUGGUAAAGCUGCUGAAGUAUAUCAAAGUAGUUACAUUUUGCAUUGUGAGGGGCCUGAUGGACAACCUGGGACUAUUCAACCAAUUAUCACUUCUGUACCUAUACAUUUAUGGGGAAGAGAUUUAUUACAACAAUGGAGAGCACAAGUUCUAAUUCCAGGUCAAUUAUAUAUCCCUCAAAAUCAACAAACAAUGCAUGAAAUGGGGUAUGUCCCUGGUAUGGGACUAGAAAAAAAUUUGCAAGGUUUAAAACAUUCCCACCAAAGAUUAAGAUAUCAUUUUUGAUGGUGGCUAUUGUUAAGCCUUCCGAACCUAUACCUUUAAAAUGGUUAAUGGAUAAGCCAAUUUGGAUAGAACAAUGGCCGCUAAGUAAAGGAAAACUGGAGGCUUUAGAGAAAUUAGUUGUUGAACAAUUAGAAAAUGGGCACAUAGCUCCAAUAUUUUCCCCUUAGAAUUCUCCAGUUUUUUUAAUUAAGAAAAAAUCAGGUAAAUGGAGAAUGUUAACUGACUUAAGAGCCAUCAAUUCAGUUAUACAACCUAUGGGAGCAUUACAGCCAGGAUUACCUUCUCCUGCUAUAAUUCCAAAAAAUUGGCCUUUAAUAGUCACAGAUUUAAAAGACUGUUUCUUUACUAUCCCUUUAGCUGAGCAAGACUGUGACCGGUUUGCAUUUACAAUUCCUGCAGUAAACAACCUGCAGCCUGCUAAGCGUUAUCAUUGGAAAGUGUUGCCACAGGGCAUGUUAAACAGUCCCACAAUUUGCCAGACAUAUGUGGGGCAAGCAAUUGAACCUACUUGUAAAAAAUUUUCACAGUGUUACAUUAUUCACUGUAGUUUGUGCUGCCCCCACUCAAGAAAUAUUACUUCAAUGUUAUGAUCACUUGCAAAAUUUGAUUUCUCGUGCUGAUUUAAUUAUAGCUCCUGACAAAAUUCAGACCACUACUCCCUACUCCUACUUGGGGACCUUAGUAAAUGACACUACCAUUGUGCCACAGACAGUAACCAUACGUAGGGAUCAACUAAAAAUAUUAAAUGACUUUCAAAAAUUACUAGGGGAUAUUAAUUGGAUACGACCUGCUCUAAGCAUUCCUACCUAUGCCAUGAGUAAUCUGUUUUCUAUCCUUAGAGGAAAUCCUAGUCUCACUAGCCCUCAGCAAUUAAUAAAGGAGGCAGAGGCAGAGUUACAACUGAUUGAGGAGCAAGUCCAUAAAGCUCAGUUAAAUAGAAUAGAUCCAGAGAAGACUCUAGAUUUGCUAAUUUUUUCAACUCAGCAUUCACCUACUGGUGUUAUUGUCCAAGAACAGGACUUAGUGGAGUGGCUUUUUCUUUCACAUACUAAUUUAUGGACUCUAACUCCUUAUUUAGAUCAAAUCGCUACUAUGAUAGGGAUUGGGAGAACUCGGAUUAUUAAAUUACAUGGAUAUGAUCCUGGAAAAAUUCUUGUCCCUCUCAUGAAGGCACAAAUAUGCAAGCUUUUAUAGUCUUACUUGGCAAACCCAUUUUAGCUUACUUUGUGGGUAUUCUCGAUAAUCAUUUUCCUAAAAUGAAGCUGUUUCAGUUUUUCAAAUUAACUAAUUGGAUUCUCCCUAAAAUAACUAAACCUAAACCAAUUGAAGGUGCUGAGAAUGUUUUUACAGAUGGGUCUAGUAAUGGUAAAGCUUCUUAUUCUGGCUCAAAAAGUAAAGUUUUUCAGACGCCCUACAGCUCAAAAAGCAGAGCUUGUAGCUGUAAUUGAGGUAUUGACGCUUUUGAUAUGCCUAUUAAUGUGAUUUCUGAUUCUUCAUGGAUGGUUCACUCCACACAGUUAAUUUAAAAUUCUCACAAUUUCAUACAGAUGAACAACUGAUGACUUUAUUUACCCAAUUGCAAACAGCAGUUAGGAGUAGAAUGCAUCCUUUUUACAUCACUCACAUUAGGGCUCAUACACCUCUUCCAGGACCUUUGACUGAAGGGAAUCAAAUGGCUGAUUGCCUAGUUGCUACUGCAAUAUUUAAUGCUAGACACUUUCACAAUUUAACCCAUGUUAAUGCCUCUGGUCUCAAACGCAGAUACAGCAUUACCUGGAAAGAAGCUAAAGCUAUUAUCCAGCGAUGCCCAUCUUACCAAAUGGGGUUAUGCUUGUAUUUCUCCAGGCCAAAAUCAACAGCCAAUUUGGAUACCAUCAAGAUACCUGAAACCUUAUCAUGAGCCAGAUGCCAAGGAAGAGACUCCAGGAGGAUCCCGAGGACCCCCCGGUUGCAGCCAUGUUGAGACUGAUGCUGAGGAGGACCCCAACUGUCAUGAGCAACACCCAUUGAACACAGCCACCUACCUGGGGACAGAUCAAGAAGCUGUCACAGAUGGCGGAAGAAAACCUGAGGAAAGCAGGACAACCAGUCACAAUGAAUAAUUUAAUGGUAGCUAUGAUAGUGGUUAUCACCACUGCCAUGAGUAUUCCUUCAAUAAGGGUUUGUAAUAAUGCCUGGAUGCAAUCACUCUAUGACACGGUUACACACGCUUUCUGAUCUCAGUAUUUAUUAUAAUAAAUCUGCUCCUAUAAUUGAGGCAUACCACCCUCAAAAACCUAUUUGGAAACAAAAUUGGACGCAGUUAGAAAAAAUGAACAUACUUGUUUAGGAAGAUUGCUUUGCAGAACAGGCAGAGGUGCUGCACAAUAAUUCCUAUGGAAUCAUUAAUUGGUUCUCUAAGGGGAUGUUUAGCUUGAAUUGCACCUCUCAGUCUGCAUGCCAUGGUCACACUAUAUUCAGAUGAUCUGAACAAAAUGGUCAGAUGGUAGAAAUGAUAAGAAGUAUGGCAAAAGUUCCUAUUAUCUGGAACCAUGGCGGUAUAGUGGCACCUCAACCUCAAAUGAUAUGGCCCACUGUAGGAGCUUAACAUAAGGAUUUAAAAUUAAAAGAACAAAUAUUUAAAGCAUCUCAGGAACACCUGUACUUAAUGCCAGAAACUGGAGUGCUUAAAGGAGCUGCCGACAAAUUAGCAGCUAGUAACCUAUUAAAAUGGAUAAAAACACUUGGACGCUCUGUGAUUUCAAUGAUGACUGUGCUUUUAAUCUAUGUUGUUUAUCUUCAUAUAGUUUGCAGAUGCAGAUCCCGAUUCCUGCAAGAAGUAGCUCACCGUGACAAAGCUGCCCUUGCUUUUAUCUCUUUACAAAUCAAAGAAGGGAGACAUGUUGGGAGCAAGCCCCCCAAAAUCUGGCCAUAAACUGGCCCCAAGACUGGCCAUAAACAAAAUCUCUGCAGCACUGUAACAUGUUCAUAAUGGCCCUAGCGCCCAAGCUGGAAGGUUGCAGGUUUAGGGAAUGAGGGCAAGGAAUACCUGGCCUGCCCAGGGUGGAAAACCACUUAAAGGCAUUCUUAAGCCACAAACAAUAGCAUGAACAAUCUGUGUCUUAAGAGUGUGUUCCUGCUGCAGUUAACUAGCCCAAUCUAUUCCUUUAAUUUGGCCCAUCCCUUCGUUUCCUAUAAGGGAUACUUUUAGCUAAUUUAAUAUCCAUAGAAACAAUGCUAAUGACUGGUUUGCUGUUAAUAAAUAUGUGGGUAAAUCUCUGUUAGGGGCUCUCAGCUCUGAAGGCUGUGAGACCCCUGAUUUUCCACUUCACACCUCUA